GGGGAAAUGACCGAGUGGUCUAAGGUGGUCGAUUGUAAAUCGAUUGGUUUCUUAUUGCCGUCGUAGGUUCGAACCCUACUUUCUUCU
rnacentral:tRNA from 1 species